AUCGCUUCUCGGCCUUUUGGCUCAGAUCAAGUGUAGUAUCUGUUCUCAUCAGUUUAAUAUCUGAUACGUCCCCCAUCGGGGGACUACAUAUUAAAUGGAUUUUUCGAACAGGGAGUCGGAAAUGG
rnacentral:snRNA from 8 species